UCUGUCUUUCCAUUAGUUUUUCUAUAGUAAUUCAUAAAAGGAGAAUAUUUACCAGAUAUUCUGAGUACUACUUGAAUAUAAUCACUUUCUCUGUUUUGAACAGAAGGCCUAUAAAGUGUGCUUGUACACUUCUAUGGAAGACUUAAACUGAAAGAAUCAUUUUUUUCCUUAUUUGCAUAGCCUGCUGAAGAUGGACCUCAGUGUACAUAUGUUGAAGACAAUAAAAUUAUCAUUAUCCAGGCAAUGCCUCCUAUCCAGGCUAAAAGCAUUACUAUACGGCAUUGCUGGGCAGUUGUUGGAGCUCUCUUCCUAACGUAUGAUCUGAAGCUGUUGCAAUUAUUCUGCCUUCAGGCAGGAUCAGCCUGAGAAGGAAUAAAUGAAUACUUGCUUGAAGAAUGUGUGAACA
rnacentral:lncRNA from 1 species